UACAAAAAUUGACCAAACCCUCAUUUCAAAAAUGCUACCCUGUAUCACCGUGUUCGAGCAAAAAGUUGAAACACUACGCGAUCUCCUCUUGCGUUCUCCUUCGACGGCGAUCUUCUCUGGUGAUAUCUCUUCCAGCGAAGAUCUCCUCCACAGCGAUCUCCUCUGGCGAUGUCUGCUCAAGCGAUGAUCUCCUCCUGCGACGUCUGCUCCAGCGACGAUCUCCCUCCUCCGAUGUCUCCUCCAACGACGAUCUCCUCCGGCUUCCUCCUUGUCGUCCUGUGUCCUCUCUGCCAAAUCUUCAGUGUCUCCCUUUUUGUUCUGGAUCAGCAGGUUGUAAAUACUAAGUGGAGUAUGUGAGAAUGGCUCAAGAAAGUGGAAAAGCUUUGGUGUCACUUAUAAACCAGGUAUUAGAUCUGGCAAAGAUUGAAGUUGAAGAAGUGGACUGGGACAAUAAUGGACAAGUCACUAUCAGAGAGUUCCUCUUCGGUUUCAUCAAAUGAGUUGGAAUUGAUGCAGAUGAAUAGAUGCAUGAUGCAUUGUGCCUUUGGAUUUGAUUCCCCUUCAUUUCUUAACACAAGAUUGCCACUGUCCAAGAGCUUCAAUACCGGAUUUUUUAAUUAGGAAGGAUUCUUGGUCUCGGAGCUCAAUUUGGGGUCUAUGAAAUCAUCACUGCCUUUUAUAAGGGUAAUUCCUAUAUUUUUUCUACAAAUCAAUUGUGUGGUAAAUAGCAUUUUAUGAUUCAGCUUUUUAGGAAAUACUCACAUAAGAAACUAGUAUUGCUUUGUUCCAAAUGACUAUAUGUCCCUCUUCAUAAAACUGUACAAUUUUAGUCCAUGGAUUUUCAAGGGUUGUCUUUGAAGUUCUAAAACUAGCAGCACAAAAUAAAAAGCUAUUUAGAGUCUUCUGCACAGGUAUUUUACCCUCUUACUCUCUUUCUUUUUGUUUAUAUAUUAAUAUAUAGAUUUUCAAGGGUAUUUUGAAUGUUGAUUUUUUGCAAAUUUUCGGUUUCAAUUUUGUCCACCAUUUCCCUUGAUUAAUGCCUGUGAACCCUGCAUCUCUAGUUUGGUCAUUAUAGAAAUUUGUGAUCUGAACUUCAAAUCUUUUGUGCUUGGUAUUUUUUUAUUUUUGACUCCUAAUUUAAUCUAGUUACCCUUUUUGUUCAAAUGUGCUUCUCUUGACUCAGUUCAGAUGAAGAAGUUGGUCCCUUGUCUCCUUUAUUUGUUAGUAUUACUACUGGAUUGUCAGCUUUAGUUGCUGCUACGGCUUCUCAUGCCUUUGAUACUACAAGAACUAGAUCACAGUGCACUGUGCUACCAAAGGUGAUGAAGAUAAAUAGAUUUGGAACUAUUUAGAAGAUGGAAGCAACUUAAAUAAGAACCACUUGAAGAUAGACAUCAUCUUUUCAUUCAUCUGGUGAGUAUUAACAUGCUGAACUUAAAUAGUGCUUGUGACCUUGAAAUAAUUAGUUUAAAUUUAGUAUUAGCAUGCAUUUUUCUUAUCAGCCGAGGUUGCUGCAGUAGCUGCAAGAGCUUUAAUGCCAGAGCAACAUUGUCCUGGUGGUUUAGCAAUUCCACUCACCAAGUAACUCACACAAGGCUUUAGGUUCUUAGUUACAUCACUGCAUGAUGAAAUUGUAGCCUCAAAACUAGUUACUGAGGUCACUAAAAUCAUAAGAACACAUGUAGCAGCAACUAAUUUCAUGCUUAUUUAAUUAAUUGUUAUAUGUGGUGGUGCUGAUGGUGGUUUCAAUUUGCAUUCCUUUCCCUUGCUUAACUAAUUAACUACUUGCCAUUCCUUUUCCUUGCUUUUGAAUGUAGUCCUCUUUACUUGAUGAAGCUGUUUAUGACAAAGAAAAAUCCCGAGUUUCAGUAAGCUUAUUAUAUAAUUACAGUUAAUAUUAUGCAUAUCUAGAUAUACACAUUGUUUCAACUUUCAAGCAGAAAGGAAGAAAAAUCAGACUUCUAUCGUAUUAUAUUGAUUUGCCUUUGUAGUGGCCAAAGCAAUUAAAUGCUUCACUUGAGGAAGUUGAUCCUGAGAUUGCUGAUAUAAUUGAGCUAGAGAUGAUGGUCAUGUUGUUAACGGAGUCCCUGCACCAAGCAACUAUCAUUCAAUUAGGACAAAUUCUACAAAUGGAUUCUUCUUACAAGAUGGAGCAAGAAACAAAGAUGUUGGAACAAGUUCCCGAAAUGAAACUCACACAAGAGACUAAGAAACUAAGGCGGACUUGUUUUAAAGUUAAUUACAAAAGGAGGAAACUUUUGGCCUCCAAAUCUUAUUCAUCAUCACUUAGCUAAGCUACUUGUCUUGUAUAUUCAUAUUCUAAGUUGUAAAAACAGCACUUAUUAGAUGGUUUAAAUACAUUAUUAGAUAUUAACAUAGUUUAGGAAACUGGAUGGUAGAUUUGACUGAUUAGUGUUUAUUGCAAUGUUUGUAUUUUGGUAAGUUUAGUAAGACAAGGUUUUGUAUAGGAGUUAUUACUUUUGAUUUUCAAUAAUAAAAAGUUAUAUAUUAUAUUAA